rnacentral:rRNA from 3 species
UUGACCUCGGAUCAGGUAGGAAUACCCGCUGAACUUAAGCAUAUCAAUAAGGCGGAGGAAA